GAUGAACGCUGGCGGCGUGCCUAAUACAUGCAAGUCGAGCGAACGGACGAGAAGCUUGCUUCUCUGAUGUUAGCGGCGGACGGGUGAGUAACACGUGGAUAACCUACCUAUAAGACUGGGAUAACUUCGGGAAACCGUAGCUAAUACCGGAUAAUAUUUUGAACCGCAUGGUUCAAAAGUGAAAGACGGUCCUGCUGUCACUUAUAGAUGGAUCCGCGCUGCAUUAGCUAGUUGGUAAGGUAACGGCUUACCAAGGCAACGAUGCAUAGCCGACCUGAGAGGGUGAUCGGCCACACUGGAACUGAGACACGGUCCAGACUCCUACGGGAGGCAGCAGUAGGGAAUCUUCCGCAAUGGGCGAAAGCCUGACGGAGCAACGCCGCGUGAGUGAUGAAGGUCUUCGGAUCGUAAAACUCUGUUAUUAGGGAAGAACAUAUGUGUAAGUAACUGUGCACAUCUUGACGGCACCUAAUCAGAAAGCCACGGCUAACUACGUG
rnacentral:rRNA from 1 species